CGGUAACAGGAAACAGCUUGCUGUUUCGCUGACGAGUGGCGGACGGGUGAGUAAUGUCUGGGAAACUGCCUGAUGGAGGGGGAUAACUACUGGAAACGGUAGCUAAUACCGCAUAACGUCGCAAGACCAAAGAGGGGGACCUUCGGGCCUCUUGCCAUCGGAUGUGCCCAGAUGGGAUUAGCUAGUAGGUGGGGUAACGGCUCACCUAGGCGACGAUCCCUAGCUGGUCUGAGAGGAUGACCAGCCACACUGGAACUGAGACACGGUCCAGACUCCUACGGGAGGCAGCAGUGGGGAAUAUUGCACAAUGGGCGCAAGCCUGAUGCAGCCAUGCCGCGUGUAUGAAGAAGGCCUUCGGGUUGUAAAGUACUUUCAGCGGGGAGGAAGGGAGUA
rnacentral:rRNA from 1 species